rnacentral:lncRNA from 1 species
CAAACUGCCCGACAGGGAGCGCAGGUCUGGCCGGGGGGCUGCCGGCCCCGCGAGCGGGGAGAUCCAGCUGUUCCGGAGCCGACCCCGGACGCGGCCUCCGCGCCUCCCUGACCCCGCGCGGGGUCCCGCUCCACCAGAGGACCCCGCGUAGCCACGAUCUCCUCCAGGAAACCAGGGCGCGCGGACAGCUGGGCUUGGACCUUGCCCCGCCUGGCACGGCGGCCACUGCGGAAGGCCAGGCCCCUACGGGGAACUGUAACCCCCGCGAGGUGUUCCUUCCUCGCGCGGCCCACCUCUCGGACUACCGCAGCCCACUUCCCAGGCCGCCCCUGCCGCUCCACACCUGUGCAGAGAAGAGAUGCUGGUCCUCCCGCAGAGCUGACCCGGUCUUGGGGCGUGAAGCUCGGGGCCCACCUGAGCGGACCAGGAAACCAGGCGGCCGAGCUCUGCUGGGGGCCGAGGGAGCGGCCUGAAGCCAGGAGGGGAACUGAAGAACCAACUGCGAACUGAGGGCCAGAGCUGGUGUCCUCUCCAGAGGGGGUGCCUCCCUAACCGGCUGCCCCAUUGUUGCAGAACCACAGGUUUUAAGGGCUCGUGUGCAGGUGAAAUGACCAUUAGAGUCAUGAAAUACUCAUGGCCUAAACAUAGUCAGUCCCCUGGCCAGGCACAACCUGAGAAACUGCAUGCCACACGCACACCCCCAAAGCUUCCAGAAGGGGGCACCGGGACACCACCGCCAGCCCUCGCUUUAUUGCUGCCUCCUCGGCCUACCUGGGAGCUGCCCAGGGCACAGCUGCCGUUCUUAGGGACCAAGGGCACCCCCAGGCCACAUGCAAGCGCUGAGCACAUCUGGGCUGGGCAGAAAAAGAGCUGGAGGCACCCCUUCUGCAGGAGCCCAGUUGGACACCCCAGCCUUGCUCUUCCAAAUGGGCUCAUCCUGGUCUGGCAAGGGGAGCAAGCUGGGUUGGACAUCCCCUCCUCAAGGAGACAGCUCUUCUAUCUAACCAUGAAGAGAACCUCGCUGUUCUGGGUCCUUCCUCACCAGCUCCCUCCGGGGUUCAGCCUGAAUCCUCCUGCCCACUCCCAGGGCCCAGCCUCCCCCACUUUUCAGACAUGGAUUCAUGAGAUGUGUGACUGAGCCUCUGAGCUUCCAAUUCCUCCCAAAUGAAGUGGAGACCCAAGUUCCCACCUCCUGGAGUCGUGGAGAGGGUGAGCGCAGAGGCAGGAGGGCGCUCCGCAGGGCCGGCCUCGCGAUGCGUGCUCGCGGCCAGGCCCCGGGCUAGCGAAGGCUCUCCUGGUUGCAGGCCCCGCACGAACAAAGGCUGCGGGGGGAGCGGCGGAG